UAGUGGCGAACGGGUGAGUAACACGUGGGCAAUCUGCCCUGCACUCUGGGACAAGCCCUGGAAACGGGGUCUAAUACCGGAUACUGAUCCUCGCAGGCAUCUGCGAGGUUCGAAAGCUCCGGCGGUGCAGGAUGAGCCCGCGGCCUAUCAGCUAGUUGGUGAGGUAACGGCUCACCAAGGCGACGACGGGUAGCCGGCCUGAGAGGGCGACCGGCCACACUGGGACUGAGACACGGCCCAGACUCCUACGGGAGGCAGCAGUGGGGAAUAUUGCACAAUGGGCGAAAGCCUGAUGCAGCGACGCCGCGUGAGGGAUGACGGCCUUCGGGUUGUAAACCUCUUUCAGCAGGGAAGAAGCGAAAGUGACGGUACCUGCAGAAGAAGCGCCGGCUAACUACGUGCCAGCAGCCGCGGUAAUACGUAGGGCGCAAGCGUUGUCCGGAAUUAUUGGGCGUAAAGAGCUCGUAGGCGGCUUGUCACGUCGGUUGUGAAAGCCCGGGGCUUAACCCCGGGUCUGCAGUCGAUACGGGCAGGCUAGAGUUCGGUAGGGGAGAUCGGAAUUCCUGGUGUAGCGGUGAAAUGCGCAGAUAUCAGGAGGAACACCGGUGGCGAAGGCGGAUCUCUGGGCCGAUACUGACGCUGAGGAGCGAAAGCGUGGGGAGCGAACAGGAUUAGAUACCCUGGUAGUCCACGCCGUAAACGGUGGGCACUAGGUGUGGGCAACAUUCCACGUUGUCCGUGCCGCAGCUAACGCAUUAAGUGCCCCGCCUGGGGAGUACGGCCGCAAGGCUAAAACUCAAAGGAAUUGACGGGGGCCCGCACAAGCGGCGGAGCAUGUGGCUUAAUUCGACGCAACGCGAAGAACCUUACCAAGGCUUGACAUACACCGGAAAACCCUGGAGACAGGGUCCCCCUUGUGGUCGGUGUACAGGUGGUGCAUGCCUGUCGUCAGCUCGUGUCGUGAGAUGUUGGGUUAAGUCCCGCAACGAGCGCAACCCUCGUCCCGUGUUGCCAGCAGGCCCCUGUGGUGCUGGGGACUCACGGGAGACCGCCAGGGUCAACUCGGAGGAAGGUGGGGACGACGUCAAGUCAUCAUGCCCCUUAUGUCUUGGGCUGCACACGUGCUACAAUGGCCGGUACAAUGAGCUGCGAUACCGCGAGGUGGAGCGAAUCUCAAAAAGCCGGUCUCAGUUCGGAUUGGGGUCUGCAACUCGACCCCAUGAAGUCGGAGUCGCUAGUAAUCGCAGAUCAGCAUU
rnacentral:rRNA from 1 species